rnacentral:rRNA from 1 species
AUUGAACGCUGGCGGCAGGCCUAACACAUGCAAGUCGAGCGGAGCGGCGGACGGGUGAGUAAUGCCUAGGAAUCUGCCUGGUCGUGGGGGAUAACGUCCGGAAACGGGCGCUAAUACCGCAUACUAUCAGAUGAGCCUAGGUCGGAUUAGCUCGUUGGUGGGGUAAAGGCCUACCAAGGCGACGAUCCGUAACUGGGCUGAGAGGAGGAUCAGUCACACGGGGAAUGAGACACGGCCCGGACACCUACGGGAGGCAGGAGUGGGGAAAAAUGCGAAAUGGGGGAAACCCUGACGCAGCCAUGCCGCGUGAAUGAAGAAGGCCUUCGGGUUGUAAAGGUCUUUCGGUGACGAGGCGUUAAUCACAGAAGAAGCACCGGCUAACUCCGUGCCAGCCGCCGCGGUAAUAC